rnacentral:rRNA from 1 species
AUUGAACGCUGGCGGCAUGCCUUACACAUGCAAGUCGAACGGCAGCGGGGGAGAAGCUUGCUUUUCCUGCCGGCGAGUGGCGAACGGGUGAGUAAUACAUCGGAACGUGCCCUGUAGUGGGGGAUAACUAGUCGAAAGAUUAGCUAAUACCGCAUACGACCUGAGGGUGAAAGUGGGGGACCGUAAGGCCUCCUGCUAUAGGAGCGGCCGAUGUCUGAUUAGCUAGUUGGUGGGGUAAAGGCCUACCAAGGCGACGAUCAGUAGCUGGUCUGAGAGGACGAUCAGCCACACUGGGACUGAGACACGGCCCAGACUCCUACGGGAGGCAGCAGUGGGGAAUUUUGGACAAUGGGCGAAAGCCUGAUCCAGCAAUGCCGCGUGUGUGAAGAAGGCCUUCGGGUUGUAAAGCACUUUUGUCCGGAAAGAAAUGGCUCUGGUUAAUACCUGGGGUCGAUGACGGUACCGGAAGAAUAAGGACCGGCUAACUACGUGCCAGCAGCCGCGGUAA